UACGUAGGCAGCGAGCGUUGUUCGGAGUUACUGGGCGUAAAGGGGGUGUAGGCGGUUGUUUAAGUUUGGUGUGAAAUCUCCCGGCUCAACUGGGAGGGUGCGCCGAAUACUGAAUGACUAGAGUGCGGGAGAGGAAAGUGGAAUUCCUGGUGUAGCGGUGAAAUGCGUAGAUAUCAGGAGGAACACCGGUGGUGUAGACGGCUUUCUGGACCGUAACUGACGCUGAGACACGAAAGCGUGGGUAGCAAACAGG
rnacentral:rRNA from 1 species